rnacentral:rRNA from 1 species
AUGUCAACUAUGGGUGUUGGCUCGAACAAUUUGCAUUGGUCUCAAACCAAUGACAUGUAUUUCGAAGACCAUGAGUUUGAGGUGGACGAGGAUGGUGAGGGCAUUGUCGACGCACCGAAAGGAAGAGGAGGCAACUACACCAACGACAAAGACGUUGUGCUAUGCAAAACUUGGUUGGACGUGUCGAGGGAUCCAUCCGUUGGAGGUGAUCAAAGUAGAGAUGCUUAUUGGCUCCGGAUGAAAGAACACUUUGAUCUUCGCAACUUGAGUGGAAUUGACCGCUCCGCACGAUCGUUCGCUCCCGGUGGUCGACCAUCAAUAGGGAUUGUCAACAAUGGGCGGCCGCACAAAAAGCGGUUGACAAGUUGA